GACGAACGCUGGCGGCGUGCUUAACACAUGCAAGUCGAACGGAAAGGCCCUGCUUUUGUGGGGUGCUCGAGUGGCGAACGGGUGAGUAACACGUGAGUAACCUGCCCUUGACUUUGGGAUAACUUCAGGAAACUGGGGCUAAUACCGGAUAGGAGCUCCUGCUGCAUGGUGGGGGUUGGAAAGUUUCGGCGGUUGGGGAUGGACUCGCGGCUUAUCAGCUUGUUGGUGGGGUAGUGGCUUACCAAGGCUGUGACAGGUAGCCGGCCUGAGAGGGUGACCGGCCACAUUGGGACUGAGAUACGGCCCAGACUCCUACGGGAGGCAGCAGUGGGGAAUAUUGCACAAUGGGCGGAAGCCUGAUGCAGCAACGCCGCGUGCGGGAUGACGGCCUUCGGGUUGUAAACCGCUUUCGCCUGUGACGAAGCGUGAGUGACGGUAAUGGGUAAAGAAGCACCGGCUAACUACGUG
rnacentral:rRNA from 1 species